rnacentral:rRNA from 1 species
GAUGAACGCUGGCGGCGUGCCUAAUACAUGCAAGUCGAGCGAACGGACGAGAAGCUUGCUUCUCUGAUGUUAGCGGCGGACGGGUGAGUAACACGUGGAUAACCUACCUAUAAGACUGGGAUAACUUCGGGAAACCGGAGCUAAUACCGGAUAAUAUUUUGAACCGCAUGGUUCAAAAGUGAAAGACGGUCUUGCUGUCACUUAUAGAUGGAUCCGCGCUGCAUUAGCUAGUUGGUAAGGUAACGGCUUACCAAGGCAACGAUGCAUAGCCGACCUGAGAGGGUGAUCGGCCACACUGGAACUGAGACACGGUCCAGACUCCUACGGGAGGCAGCAGUAGGGAAUCUUACGCAAUGGGCGAAAGCCUGACGGAGCAACGCCGCGUGAGUGAUGAAGGUCUUCGGAUCGUAAAACUCUGUUAUUAGGGAAGAACAUAUGUGUAAGUAACUGUGCACAUCUUGACGUUACCUAAUCAGAAAGCCACGGCUAACUACGUG